rnacentral:rRNA from 1 species
CCAGAGAAUUCAGCAGAGAUGCUUUAGUGCCUUCGGGAACUCUGAGACAGGUGCUGCAUGGCUGUCGUCAGCUCGUGUUGUGAAAUGUUGGGUUAAGUCCCGNAACGAGCGCAACCCUUUAUCCUUUGUUGCCAGCACGUAAUGGUGGGAACUCAAAGGAGACUGCCGGUGAUAAACCGGAGGAAGGUGGGGAUGACGUCAAGUCAUCAUGGCCCUUACGAGUAGGGCUACACACGUGCUACAAUGGCGCAUACAAAGAGAAGCGACCUCGCGAGAGCAAGCGGACCUCAUAAAGUGCGUCGUAGUCCGGAUUGGAGUCUGCAACUCGACUCCAUGAAGUCGGAAUCGCUAGUAAUCGUAAAUCAGAAUGUUACGGUGAAUACGUUCCCGGGCCUUGUACACACCGCCCGUCACACCAUGGGAGUGGGUUGCAAAAGAAGUAGAUAGCUUAACCUUCGGGAGGGCGUUUACCACUUUGUGAUUCAUGACUGGGGUGAAGUCGUAACAAGGUAGGCGUAGUGCU